rnacentral:rRNA from 1 species
GCCAGCCCGCUCCGAAACUCAAAGGAAUUGACGGGGCCCGCACAAGCGGUGGAGUAUGUGGUUUAAUUCGAUGCAACGCGAAGAACCUUACCUGGUCUUGACAUCCCGGAGACCCUUAGGAAACUAGGGGGUGCCUUCCAUCUGGAAGAAUCUGGAGACAGGUGCUGCAUGGCUGUCGUCAGCUCGUGUCGUGAGAUGUUGGGUUAAGUCCCGCAACGAGCGCAACCCUUGCCUUUAGUUGCCAGCAGUUCGGCUGGGCACUCUAAAGGGACUGCCGGUGUUAAACCGGAGGAAGGUGGGGAUGACGUCAAGUCCUCAUGGCCUUUAUGACCAGGGCUACACACGUACUACAAUGGCCGAUACAAAGGGCAGCGACACUGCGAGGUGAAGCCAAUCCCGUAAAAUCGGUCUCAGUCCGGAUUGGAGUCUGCAACUCGACUCCAUGAAGUUGGAAUCGCUAGUAAUCGUGGAUCAGCAUGCCACGGUGAAUACGUUCCCGGGCCUU